UAAUACUAAAACUGUAGGGAUGUUUGUGUGUAACCAAAAUAUCUCAGAAAUAGUAUAUUUUAUCUUUUUUUACAUAUUCAUUUUCAUACUUAUCUUUGGCAGUGCAGUACAAAUUUUUGUGAUAUUUGGUACUCUAUUUAUUAAGGAAAACAAUUAAACACAAUUUUUGUUUGUUAUUUCUUGACAAAAAAUGCAUCACUUCCGUGACGUCAACACACAUACACAUAUACAGAAUACACACACGACUAUAAUAGAACCAUGGCUAUAAUAGAAGACACUUGUCCAAAGUGCCACGCAGUGGGAUUGAACCUGGAACCAUGUGGUUGGUACGCAAGCUACUUACCACACAGGCGCUCCUGUGCUUAUAUAGAUAUAUAUCUACAUAUGUGUGUGUGUGUGUGUGCGUGUGUAGUGUAUCUAUGUGCAGGUGCUUGCCUCCCACAAUGUUCAACAACUAGUGUUGAUAUGAUGAAAUCUUCCAAAAACAUGCUCCAGCAUGGUCGCAGUCCAAUAACUGAACCAAGAUAAAAAUAAUCAUAACCAGGUUUAUAACUAUAUCUUUAUCAAAGCAUUAUCUAGUCUUUGAAUAUGUUAUCAAUGUAUAAACAUUUAAUUAGCAGAAAAUCACUGUUGAAGGAGGAACCCAGCAAAAUUUGGCCCUCAAAAAUGAACCAAACAAAAACUUCCGUGUGAGUAGAUGCCUUCCAGAAGUUCCUGAAAACAAAACUGGAACAAGAAAUAAAAAGUGUGAUGAAGUUAGCAGCACAACCAGUGUUCCAGACAGUGGAAUCUCUGAUGUCUGGAACUUGUCACUUCCACCAAAGCAAUCCAGGCAAUCCAUGCCUGGCCUUUUGCCAUUAACCAAAUUCACUGAUACGAAUAAAGAACAUCCAAUUAAUAAUCCUGAAGUUGUUUCCAAACAGACAGAUGCAAUAUCAUUAAACAGAACUGGUCAAACCACACCAAUGGACACAACAUCUCGGGCAAGAAGCGACCAAACUGUUCCAAUGGCAGUUGAACCUGCAGCAAGAACUGACCAUAGUGCUACAUCUACAGACAAAGGAACUUUGGUAAGAAACGAUCCCUGUACUAUGUCAACAAACCAAGAAUUGAUGUCAAGAGUUAAUCAGCAGCAACAUGUUCAAAGUUCUUUGGCUUUACC